AAUUAAUGAACUUGAAUAAGUUUAUAUUUUGAAAAUAUAAGAAAGAAUUAAAUUUCUAUUAAUUU
rnacentral:tRNA from 1 species